CAGCCGUAAACUAUGCGCGUUAGGUGUAUCGGUGACCACGAGUUACCGAGGUGCCGAAGGGAAACCGUGAAACGUGCCGCCUGGGAAGUACGGUCGCAAGGCUGAAACUUAAAGGAAUUGGCGGGGGAGCACCACAACAGGUGGAGCCUGUGGUUUAAUUGGACUCAACGCCGGGAAGCUCACCGGAUAGGACAGCAGAAUGAUUGCCGGGCUGAAGACCCUGCAUGACUAGCUGAGAGGAGGUGCAUGGCGUCAGUGACU
rnacentral:rRNA from 1 species